rnacentral:rRNA from 1 species
GAUGAACGCUGGCGGCGUGCCUAAUACAUGCAAGUCGAGCAAACGGACGAGAAGCUUGCUUCUCUGAUGUUAGCGGCGGACGGGUGAGUAACACGUGGAUAACCUACCUAUAAGACUGGGAUAACUUCGGGAAACCGGAGCUAAUACCGGAUAAUAUUUUGAACCGCAUGGUUCAAAAGUGAAAGACGGCCUUGCUGUCACUUAUAGAUGGAUCCGCGCUGCAUUAGCUAGUUGGUAAGGUAACGGCUUACCAAGGCAACGAUGCAUAGCCGACCUGAGAGGGUGAUCGGCCACACUGGAACUGAGACACGGUCCAGACUCCUACGGGAGGCAGCAGUAGGGAAUCUUCCGCAAUGGGCGAAAGCCUGACGGAGCAACGCCGCGUGAGUGAUGAAGGUCUUCGGAUCGUAAAACUCUGUUAUUAGGGAAGAACAUAUGUGUAAGUAACUGUGCACAUCUUGACGGUACCUAAUCAGAAAGCCACGGCUAACUACGUG